rnacentral:sRNA from 1 species
AUCCCGUAAAAUAUUUAUUUUAAUUAUAUAUUUAAAUAAGCGGUGUACCGCGGGUUUUUUUAUGGGACAAGUUUGGCAGGACGUUACUUAAUAACAAUUGUAAACUAUAAAAUAAAAAUAUUUUAUAGAUAGAUAUAAUUUGCAAACUUUUAUAUAUAUUAAUU